rnacentral:rRNA from 1 species
GACGAACGCUGGCGGCGUGCUUAACACAUGCAAGUCGAGCGGUAAGGCCCUUUCGGGGGUACACGAGCGGCGAACGGGUGAGUAACACGUGGGUGACCUGCCCUCAGCUCUGGGAUAAGCCUGGGAAACUGGGUCUAAUACUGGAUAUGACUCCACGGUGCAUGUCGUGGGGUGGAAAGCCUUGUGCGGCUGAGGAUGGGCCCGCGGCCUAUCAGCUUGUUGGUGGGGUGAUGGCCUACCAAGGCGACGACGGGUAGCCGGCCUGAGAGGGCGACCGGCCACACUGGGACUGAGACACGGCCCAGACUCCUACGGGAGGCAGCAGUGGGGAAUCUUGCGCAAUGGGCGAAAGCCUGACGCAGCGACGCCGCGUGAGGGAUGACGGUCUUCGGAUUGUAAACCACUGUCGGGAGGGACGAAUACGCCGCAAGGCGGGUGACGGUACCUCCAAAGGAAGCACCGGCUAACUCCGUGACAGCCGCCGCUGU